CCUACGGGAGGCAGCAGUGGGGAAUAUUGGGCAAUGGGCGAAACCCUGACCCAGCAACGCCGCGUGAAGGAAGAAGGCUUUCGGGUCGUAAACUUCUUUUAAGAGGGAAGAGCAGAAGACGGUACCUCUUGAAUAAGCCCCCGCUAUCUACGUGCCCGCAGCCGCGGUAAUACGUAGGGCGCGAGCGUUGUCCGGAUUUACUGGGUGUAAAGGGCGUGCAGCCGGGAGUACAAGUCAGAUGUGAAAUCCCGGGGUUUAACCGCGGAACUGCAUUUGAAACUGUAUUUCUUGUGUACAGGAGAGGCAGGCGGAAUUCCUAGUGUAGCGGGGAAAUGCGUAGAUAUUAGGAGGAAAACCAGUGGCGAAGGCGG
rnacentral:rRNA from 1 species